rnacentral:rRNA from 1 species
GACGAACGCUGGCGGCGUGCUUAACACAUGCAAGUCGAACGGUGAAGCGCCUUCCUUUUUGGUGGGUGUGGAUGAGUGGCGAACGGGUGAGUAACACGUGAGUAACCUGCCCCCUUCUUCUGGAUAACCGCAUGAAAGUGUGGCUAAUACGGGAUAUUCUGGGUCUGUCGCAUGAUGGGUCUGGGAAAGAUAUUGUUUCGGUGGGGGAUGGGCUCGCGGCCUAUCAGCUUGUUGGUGGGGUGAUGGCCUACCAAGGCGGUGACGGGUAGCCGGCCUGAGAGGGUGGACGGUCACACUGGGACUGAGACACGGCCCAGACUCCUACGGGAGGCGGCAGUGGGGAAUAUUGCACAAUGGGCGCAAGCCUGAUGCAGUGACGCCGCGUGAGGGAUGGAGGCCUUCGGGUUGUGAACCUCUUUCGCCAGUGAAGCAGGCCUGCCUCGUUUGUGGGUGGGUUGACGGUAGCUGGAUAAGAAGCGCCGGCUAACUACGUG